rnacentral:lncRNA from 1 species
UGCCUUUAUGCCGAUGAACCGCUAGCAGGCGAAGAAUGGUACGCACGAUAUCUAAAAAAAUCAGCAGAACACAAGCAACAAAACUAGAUGCUACAGCGAAGAUUAGAUGGCCUUGAAGAUAUUAAAUUAUGAGGAGUGUAAAGAAAGAUUUAUUUUAACAUUUUAACGUAAAAUAAGUAUCUCUGACUAAUAUAUUUUGCGGGAUACGGGCUCAUACGGCAUCAGUCACAUCAAAGAGUUUAAACCAUGUACACUUCCCUCACCUUCGCAAGAAAAUACAAGACACGAGAUCAAAGAAAAUAUAAACCGACUGGUUCAGAGCAAAUUACGUAUAUAUUCUUGUUUGAGGCUACAGUGUUUAUCUGUGAUCACGUUUAUUUAAUACGAACGAUUAAACGAUUGUAUUUUCUCGCAAGUUUUCUUAGAGCCCAUUUUUCCAAGCAAAUAGGUCUGAAUCCCGAGUGUAGAAUGAUACAGCAGUAACAGCACGGUGGCUGUGGUACAUCUUCUUAAACCAAGUUAUCCUUCAGAACUUCCCCACAUUUACAAGAUUCCAUCUCCUGACAGCACCAAGCUUCGUGUGUAUAUGUAUUAUCACACAAUUGCCGCAUUUACACUUGCGAAAUAUGAUACAGGUGAGGAAAGUGAUAUGACUGAUGCCGUAUCAAAAAUAUAUCAGCCAGAGAUACUUAUUUUACGUUAAAAUGUUAAAUAAAUCUAUGUUUACGCUCACCAUGAUUUAAUAUCUUUAAGGCCGUCUAAUCUUCGUUCUAGCAUCUCGUUUUGUUCCUUGUGUUGCGCAUGGUUUUAGAUGUUGCGCGUAGCAUUCUUGGCUUGCUAGCGGCUCCACCGGCAUAAAGGCAAUAUGCUAUUAUAUGCAUCAUUAUCGCCUAAAAUUUCGCUAUCAACUGCUUCUAGAGUUCCAAUUUCGUGACUGGUAUCAUUUAAUUCAUCCUGUAUAUAUACCCAGGAAUAUAAUUGUAUUCUGAGUCACAUUGAGAACCAUGAAUGCUGGAAAAUAUAUGUUUUCCCAAUAGCUUUUUAGUACUCCUUCACAUGUGAAUUCGAACUUCCGUCCCUUAAGCUACGUCACACGGCUCUCGCCCCAGACCCUUUUCCGGGCGCGACAAUGUUUCGCUAAAAGCCAAUUUUUCAAGGUUUAGAACCUCAUAUCUCGCGAAUGAAAAGAGAAAACCGAAAAAUGUUAAAGAACCUAUUAACUAACUUUUUGU